UAUAUAGUCUUUUAGUCUGAACCAAUUUAUAAAUAAUACACAGCUCAUGUUUAAACUCCAGCACUAGAUUUCAGUAGAUUCUAAUAAUUCACGUGAUUGUAUAAUUUUAUUAAUAAAUUAACAAACAGAAUAAAAACACCAACAGUCUUCCAGAAGCCCUGACAGCAUGUAAAAUCAAUUCCAUUUUUUUUAUUUUUUAAUAUUUAAUUAAAUACAACGCAUACCACCAUAUAAACAGCACUGAAGGUGAUCUAGUGCAUACUAAAUGUGCACUUCAUAACUAACGUUAAGUGUGCAUUGACAGCAGUGGGCUGCGGUAUUGAUGAUGAAUAAUCUGACGUGUUGUUGCAUGCGCGUUUAAUUCUUUAAAAUGACAGCGUUUCUAUCGCGCAUGGCUAAAUCUCUCCUCGAGAUCUCCGUGGAAAAGGUCUUCCUUCCCACUAUGAUAUCUGUGGAGCGAUCGCACCUGAAGGUGAAACAAGAGGCUUUUGAUUCAACAUG
rnacentral:lncRNA from 1 species